rnacentral:rRNA from 1 species
GUAGUCCAUGCCGUAAACGUUGGGCACUAGGUGUGGGGGACAUUCCACGUUUUCCGCGCCGUAGCUAACGCAUUAAGUGCCCCGCCUGGGGAGUACGGCCGCAAGGCUAAAACUCAAAGGAAUUGACGGGGGCCCGCACAAGCGGCGGAGCAUGCUGAUUAAUUCGAUGCAACGCGAAGAACCUUACCAAGGCUUGACAUGCACCGGACGGUCGCAGAGAUGUGGCUUUCUUCGGACUGGUGCACAGGUGGUGCAUGGUUGUCGUCAGCUCGUGUCGUGAGAUGUUGGGUUAAGUCCCGCAACGAGCGCAACCCUCGUUCUAUGUUGCCAGCACGUCAUGGUGGGGACUC